GGGGGCGUUAUGGAUUCGACAUAAAUAAAAACUUUUAAGUGUCAUGUCGAGAUUUAACUUAUCUCGUUAAUUAAAAGUUAAUAUAUAUUUGCCAAUAAUAAAAGUUUUGCUCAUAAUUUAGGAUUAGCAGCAUAAAUUCAACUUCCUAAGUUUAUGGAACUAGUAUAGCGUUCAUUAAUGUCUUUUUAUUGAACGUUCAAUAUAUAAUAAGACUUACUUUAAUAAAUCGUGCUCAUCAGGUUUAUUAAUAAAGUAAAUUUUUAUAAAGAUGAAGAUAAACAUGUAUCAACUUAAUAAUUUCUAUUUAUGGACGCGGGUUCAAAUCCCGCCGCCUCCAC
rnacentral:tmRNA from 1 species